AACGAACGCUGGCGGCAUGCCUAACACAUGCAAGUCGAACGAGACCUUCGGGUCUAGUGGCGCACGGGUGCGUAACGCGUGGGAACCUGCCCUUAGGUUCGGAAUAACUCCCCGAAAGGGGUGCUAAUACCGGAUAAUGUCUUCGGACCAAAGAUUUAUCGCCUUUGGAUGGGCCCGCGUUGGAUUAGCUAGUUGGUAGGGUAAAAGCCUACCAAGGCGACGAUCCAUAGCUGGUCUGAGAGGAUGAUCAGCCACACUGGGACUGAGACACGGCCCAGACUCCUCCGGGAGGGGGGAAGGGGGAAGGUAGAAAAGGGGGGGAAGGCUUGAACGAGCUAGGCGCGGGAAGUGAUGAUGGCUUGGGGGUAGAAAAGUUUUUUUACCGGGGAAGAUAAUGACGGUACCGGAAAAAAAAGCCCCGGCUAACUCCGUG
rnacentral:rRNA from 1 species